rnacentral:rRNA from 1 species
AACGAACGCUGGCGGCAGGCUUAACACAUGCAAGUCGAGCGCCCCGCAAGGGGAGCGGCAGACGGGUGAGUGACGCGUGGGAAUCUACCCAUCUCUACGGAAUAACGCAUGGAAACGUGUGCUAAUACCGUAUACGUUCUUCGGGAGAAAGAUUUAUCGGAGAUGGAUGAGCCCGCGUUGGGUUAGCUAGUUGGUGGGGUAAAGGCCUACCAAGGCGACGAUCCAUAGCUGGUCUGAGAGGAUGAUCAGCCACACUGGGACUGAGACACGGCCCAGACUCCUACGGGAGGCAGCAGUGGGGAAUAUUGGACAAUGGGCGCAAGCCUGAUCCAGCCAUGCCGCGUGAGUGAUGAAGGCCCUAGGGUUGUAAAGCUCUUUCACCGGUGAAGAUAAUGACGGUAACCGGAGAAGAAGCCCCGGCUAACUUCGUGCCAGCCGCCGCGGUAAGAC